AGUGAACGUUGGCGGCGUGGAUUAGGCAUGCAAGUCGAGCGAUCGUAGCAAUACGGGAGCGGCAAACGGGGUAGGAAUACAUCGGAACGUACCUUUUGGUUGAGAAUAGCGUUGGGAAACUGACGGUAAUACUCAAUAAAGUCGAGAGACCAAAGGUUUACUGCCGGAAGAGCGGCCGAUGCGAUAUUAGGUAGUUGGUGGGGUAAUGGCCUACCAAGCCUGAGAUGUCUAGGGGGUGUGAGAGCAUGGCCCCACCACUGGGACUGAGAUACUGCCCAGACACCUACGGGUGGCUGCAGUCGAGGAUCUUCGUCAAUGGGGCGAAAGCCUGAACGAGCGACGCCGCGUGCGGGAUGAAGGCCCUUGGGUUGUAAACCGCUGUCAGGGGGGAUGAAACCGUAAGGUUGACAGAGCCCCAGAGGAAGCACGGGCUAAGUUCGUGCCAGCAGCCGCGGUAAU
rnacentral:rRNA from 1 species